rnacentral:rRNA from 1 species
UACGGGGGGGGCAAGCGUUGUUCGGAAUUACUGGGCGUAAAGGGCGCGUAGGCGGCCUGCUAAGUCGGACGUGAAAUCCCUCGGCUCAACCGGGGAACUGCGUCCGAUACUGGCGAGCUUGAAUCCGGGAGAGGGAUGUGGAAUUCCCGGUGUAGUGGUGAAAUGCGUAGAGAUCGGGAGGAACACCUGUGGCGAAGGCGGCUCGCUGGGCCGGUCCUGACGCUGAGACGCGAAGGCGUGGGGAGCGAACGGG